rnacentral:tmRNA from 1 species
GGGGAUGUUUUUGGGAUUCGACAGGCGUAGAUUCGCAUUGACUGCGAUUCGUAGGUUACGUCUACGUAAAAACGUUACAGUUAAAUAUAACUGCAAAUAACAAAAAUUCUUACGCAUUAGCUGCUUAAUUUAGCGCAUGCGUUGCUCUUUGUCGGUUUACUCGUGGCUGACACUGAGUAUCAACUUUAGCGAGUUACGUUUAACUAUCUCACCUGAAUAGUUGAAAAGAGUCUUAACAGGUUAGCUAGCUCAUCCUAGCCCUGUUAUAUGGCGUUUUGAGCUAGUGAAGUUCAAGUAAUAUAACUAUGAUCGUAGAGGUCAGUGACGGAAUGCGUUUGGACAGGGGUUCAACUCCCCUCAUCUCCACCA